UCUAGUUUUAAGCCACAUACACUUUUUACAACUUGGUCGUUUUCAAUUUCAACCAGAUGGAGGAUUUUAGUCACCGAAUGUCUGGAUAUUUAGAUAUCAGAGAAAAAAGCCAGGCAAAUGUUUGACAGCUCAGCUCCCAGCCGCCGGACAUGUCCUGUCCUAAUUUUGCUGAAGAGCAUCAGUAAAUCUAUGAUUUUGUAAAAAGUGAAACUGCUUCAUUCAUUUACCGGUGUUUAAUCCGUUGGUCUGUUUGUUAUGGAGAGGAGGACAUCUCUGCAGAUAAUUCGGCUGCCGGGAAAUGCUCGUUGAACGUCUGGUUCAUAAGUUAUUAAAGAAACAAAGCUACAGUGACAGGAAGGAGACAGGAAAGUCAGGGGGAUGACAUGCGGGCCAGAGUCGGACUGGAGCUCGGACGCUGCUGGUUGGACUUUGUGGCACACACUUUACCAGUGCACAGGCAAAGAGGCAGUGAAGCAGACAGGCGGCCCGGGAGCAAGCACCGAAGACGUCCAGCAAAAUGGAGGUAGUCUAAUAGAGAGAGUGCCAACAUGCAGACAGACAUGAGAGAGAGGGAGGCUGUCAGGGAGGAAGACAGAGAAAAGCUGGACCAGCACAAAGAUACACAUGGAAUACAAAUAAUACACAGACUGGACAAACAGCUGGCCAGACAAAGACAGACAGGCGAGUUGACAUACACAUGGAGACUGAUGAAUAAGAAGACAUGCAGGCGGGCAGGGUGGAGGAAAUCCCGACAUCCAUGAAGAGUAGACGGAGGGUAGACAGACCCACAGGCCGCAGGGAUACACAUGCUGCCUUUCCACACCUCGGGGACACGUUGGCCCUAAGGAAAAACUAAAGCUAAUCCCCCCACUGUGUUUAGUGAGUUAGGGCCCUUCAAGAGCAGAGAAAGUAUCUUUACUCCCCACCAAGGAGAAAGGGAGGGAGGGAGAGAGGGAGAGAGACCCUGCAUUUUCCAGCAGCCAGAUUGCAUCUGGUUUUUUUCAUUAGGACACAAGGCAGCAUUAUCAUCCAGAACAUCUAAAUUUACCCCCAUCCACUACACUCUUUCUUUCACGCUCCCCUCCAAUCAUUUCUAAUGCACUCUGUCUCCCCGGCCCCCUCCCCUCCCUCUUCUCCCCUCGUCUCCUACUCAAUCAGACAGCCCUGUUUUUUUAUUUAUUUAUUUUUUAUUUUGCUUUAUCCCUCUGUCGCUCUUGUCCUUUCUCUUCACUCUUCUAUUUAGGAAGGAAAACAGCAUCAUUAAGUUGAUUUUCAAGGUCCUUUCAGCUAUGUUUUUCAUGCCAGCGUUGGCCUAAAUUCUCUGUGGUGAGAACUUGAUUAAUCCUUGUUCCUGGAUGUUGCUCAUUUUAAUUCUUUGAUAGAAAUACAACAAAUUAUCUGUUUAUUUCCAGGAAAGGUCGCCACUUUAUUGUCUGUUAUCAAAGCACUUGAAGAGAUCAGUUACCUCUACCUUAACUGUUUAAAAUGCAAGGCCAUGAACUCGGAAGUUUAAGCAAUUGUGUAAAUGAUGCAACUAUGAUGAAAUGACAGAUAUCGUAGUGUGUAGGCCUGUUACACACACCCACACACACACACACACACACACACACACACACACACACACACACACACACACACACACACACACACACGACAAUAAAGCCAUUCAUAAAUUUAUACUUUAAGUCUACCUAAUAUGCCAGAAAACAAGCUAGGAGAAGAAACCCUGCCUGCAGAUGUUUUAAUUAGCUUUGUGAUAAUCAUUAAGAAUAAUUAAAUAUCCUAUUCAUCCAAGCCACAACAUUAUUAUUAAAUGUGCACUGAACACAGUCAUAGAUCAGUAUUGCUGAAUUUUACAAAACACAUUUAAACAUUUAAAUAGGCUGUUGUAGACCAUGACUGGCUGUACUUUUGUCUGGCGCAGUAAUAUCCCAUUUGAUUAACUGUUAUGCGGUCACAGGUGUUUUCUUUUUGUCUGGCGGCUACAAACGUGAACUAGCGUCAUGAUGCGGGACUAUUUGCUUCAUAAUUUUCUUUAAUGUUCCUCUCAUAACAUGGACCUCCAUAUUCUCCGGUCCUACGUCCCCCCCUGCGUCAUUUCUGCCUGCUCGUGUUUCUCCCUGUGGCCAAUUAUCCGCCUCUGAAUAAGUGCCUGAGUGAAUAGGCUAAUGCAACCAGCUGGAGGAGUCCUCUCUGAUGCCUGCUUCUUGAGGUAUGGUAUUCCUGGGUCUCCCCCCGCCGUGUGACCUGCAGGUGACGGGGAAACCUGCCAUCUAUGUGCCCGGAAACCCUCGACGCCAACACGGCAGCAUGAGCUAAAAAUAGUCCGCUGGUGAUAAAUAAUAAAACCUCUCCCCAUAUGCCAAGCGUCCCUCCACAUCCUGAUUUCAAUCUGUGCAGCUAAUUGUAUGACUUAAUUUUGUAAGGCAGGCAUUGUAAAGACAAGGAAGUGCUCAGGCUGUUAUAAUGGUGUGAAGUAUUUGGCCUUUGUGGACACAGAAAACACACAAUUCAAAGCAAACCAAGGAUAUCCUGUUCAGCCAUAAUAGGAUUAUAAAAAUAAACCCCAAAACUCAAAGAAAUUAAAAUUUCAAAAUGCAAAGUACAAGCAUUAUGAUUAUUAUAGACACGUGGAAGGACACUAUCAGGUGUAGCUACAGUCUGUUUGGAUUCAUCUCUAAAGAACACACACCUCUAACAAAUAAAUAGCCUAUUUCCUAAUCGUGACUUCAACCUCAUUAAAUUAUUUUGGACAUAAGACGUCUAAAAUCAACCCUUUGCAUGACAGAUAGACAGGCUAUGAUAUAUAGGCCUGCAAUAGUAAAAAUAGCUGAAAAUGCAGUGUUUAAUAAAUCUAAAUGCCAUUACAGGUUUAUUACUGUAGUUUCUUGCUGAACACUCUCCCUGAUCAGCAUCCUCACACCCCUCUCAUUUUCCACAAUAUAAUUAUGCACUCUAUAAUUCUGCAUGAUUUUUUUCCCCUCCACCAUCUUAUUCAAAGAGCUGUGUAAUUUAAGACUGGUGUUUAAAAAAAUCAUGCUAAAUCAAAGAAAGCAGUACCGUCCUGGAGGAGAGAAUGACACGGCGCUCCCUUUUCUGUUUUUCCUGGCUGUCUGGUCACGAUUCAAAGCCCUCACAACGGGGAGCUUUGUGUUGAUGCUGCUGCAGUUGAGGUCCGCAUGGGAACCCCCCCCCCCCUCUCAA